rnacentral:rRNA from 1 species
UACGUAGGCAGCGAGCGUUGUCCGGAGUUACUGGGCGUAAAGGGUGUGUAGGCGGCUGUUUAAGUUUGGUGUGAAAUCUCCCGGCUUAACUGGGAGGGUGCAGCGGAAACUAGAAUGCUAGAGGGUGGGAGAGGUAAGCGGAAUUCCUGGUGUAGCGGUGAAAUGCGUAGAUAUCAGGAGGAACACCUGUGGUGUAGACAGCUUACUGGACCACUUCUGACGCUGAGACACGAAAGCGUGGGUAGCAAACAGG